GUGGGGAAUAUUGGACAAUGGGGGGAACCCUGAUCCAGCCAUGCCGCGUGUGUGAAGAAGGCCUUUUGGUUGUAAAGCACUUUAAGCGAGGAGGAGGCUACUCUAGUUAAUACCUAGGGAUAGUGGACGUUACUCGCAGAAUAAGCACCGGCUAACUCUGUGCCAGCAGCCGCGGUAAUACAGAGGGUGCAAGCGUUAAUCGGAUUUACUGGGCGUAAAGCGCGCGUAGGUGGCCAAUUAAGUCAAAUGUGAAAUCCCCGAGCUUAACUUGGGAAUUGCAUUCGAUACUGGUUGGCUAGAGUAUGGGAGAGGAUGGUAGAAUUCCAGGUGUAGCGGUGAAAUGCGUAGAGAUCUGGAGGAAUACCGAUGGCGAAGGCAGCCAUCUGGCCUAAUACUGACACUGAGGUGCGAAAGCAUGGGGAGCAAACAGGAUUAGAAACCCUAGUAGUCC
rnacentral:rRNA from 1 species